GACGAACGCUGGCGGCGUGCUUAACACAUGCAAGUCGAGCGGUAAGGCCCUUUCGGGGGUACACGAGCGGCGAACGGGUGAGUAACACGUGGGUGACCUGCCCUCAGCUCUGGGAUAAGCCUGGGAAACCGGGUCUAAUACUGGAUAUGACUCCAUGACGCAUGUUGUGGGGUGGAAAGCCUUGUGCGGCUGAGGAUGGGCCCGCGGCCUAUCAGCUUGUUGGUGGGGUGANGGCCUACCAAGGCGACGACGGGUAGCCGGCCUGAGAGGGCGACCGGCCACACUGUGACUGAGACACGGCCCAGACUCCUACGGGAGGCAGCAGUGGGGAAUCUUGCGCAAUGGGCGAAAGCCUGACGCAGCGACGCCGCGUGAGGGAUGACGGCC
rnacentral:rRNA from 1 species